UAAACUAGGAUUAGAUACCCUAUUAUUUUAAAUGUAAAUUUUAAAUGCUAAAUUAGUAGUAGAUAUGUUCUUUAAAAUUAAAAAAUUUGGCGGUAUUUUAGUCUUUUCAGAGGAACCUGUCCUGUAAUUGAUAGUCCACGAUAAAGUGUACUUUAUUUAUUAGUUUAUAUAUCGUCGUAGUUAGAAUAUUUUAUAAGAAUAUUAAUAUUCUAAAUUUUUUAUUAAAAAAUAAAUCAGAUCAAGAUGUAGUUUAUAAUAAAGGAGAGAUGGGUUACAUUAAAUUUAUUUAAGGAUAAUUUUUAGGAUAAAUAAUUUGAAUAUGGAUUUGAAAGUAAUUUUAUUAAGUUUAUUAAAAUGAUUUUAGCUCUAGAAUAUGUACACAUCGCCCGUCGCUCUUAA
rnacentral:rRNA from 1 species